rnacentral:rRNA from 1 species
GAUGAACGCUGGCGGCGUGCCUAAUACAUGCAAGUCGAGCGAACGGACGAGAAGCUUGCUUUUCUGACGUUAGCGGCGGACGGGUGAGUAACACGUGGAUAACCUACCUAUAAGACUGGGAUAACUUCGGGAAACCGGAGCUAAUACCGGAUAAUAUUUUGAACCGCAUGGUUCAAAAGUGAAAGACGGUCUUGCUGUCACUUAUAGAUGGAUCCGCGCUGCAUUAGCUAGUUGGUAAGGUAACGGCUUACCAAGGCAACGAUGCAUAGCCGACCUGAGAGGGUGAUCGGCCACACUGGAACGGAGACACGGUCCAGACUCCUACGGGAGGCAGCAGUAGGGAAUCUUCCGCAAUGGGCGAAAGCCUGACGGAGCAACGCCGCGUGAGUGAUGAAGGUCUUCGGAUCGUAAUACUCUGUUAUUAGGGAAGAACAUAUGUGUAAGUAACUGUGCACAUCUUGACGGUAACUAAUCAGAAAGCAACGGCUAACUACGUG